UACAGAGGGGGCAAGCGUUAUUCGGAAUUAUUGGGCGUAAAGGGCUCGUAGGCGGCUUGUCACGUCGGGUGUGAAAGCCCGGGGCUUAACCCCGGGUCUGCAUUCGAUACGGGCUAGCUAGAGUGUGGUAGGGGAGAUCGGAAUUCCUGGUGUAGCGGUGAAAUGCGCAGAUAUCAGGAGGAACACCGGUGGCGAAGGCGGAUCUCUGGGCCAUUACUGACGCUGAAGAGCGAAAGCGUGGGGAGCAAACAGG
rnacentral:rRNA from 1 species